UUAAACUAUCUAGAUUAUGGUUAACAUUCUUGAUCUUGAAUUUAAAAGUCCUAUGCUGAAAUUUUAAAGAUUAUUCAAUUUCCACUGUCCAUUUUGACAUAGUUUAUUUACUAUGUAAACGAUGUCGAAAAAAAUUAAAAUUUUAUUCCUAAGAACUUCAUAUACCCUAGAUCAUAUUUAACGGUGUAGAUCGUUAAUUUGAAUACCCUAAAAUCGAAGAUAAGACUAUAGUACCAGAGCACCUAUACUAUAGAUAGUAUAGUAGCCUAAUCCUAUAUAUAUAUAUAUAUAUAUAUAUAUAUAUAUAUAUAUAUAUAUAGUCCAGCUACUAUACUCUUAUAAGUACGAUCGCUCUCGUACUCAUAAGUCGUUUUCGAUGAUAGAACUUCCAAAUCGACGAUCCAUACGGUUAAACAUUAUCUAAAACAUUUAAAACUUCUAGAAAUCAAAUUUCAUAAUUUUUCGAUAUCAUUUACCUUACAAUCAAAAGCUCACAAAAUUGACAAUUUGUAACAGCCGGUAUGGGAUACUUGCUAGUUUAACGUUGUAAAAGAAUCGGAAUAGGUUGAAUUUUUAAUAGAAAAUUCUAUUCACUACCUAGAUAAAAGUCAAUAACUCUAAUCUUAAAUUGAAGGAUCCGAUCAUCUAUUUUUAGAACGUCGUUCGAUUUUGACCGUUCAUUUUAUGCCCGCUAGAUGGACUUUAUUAUGAUUUCGAAAAAUUACGAAAUUUAUUUUUUAGAAGUUUCAAAUACUUUAGAUCAUAUUUAAUGGAGUGGAUCGUCAAUUCAAAAGAUCCAUCAUCAAAAACAACUUAUGAGUACGAAAGGCUCUAUACUCAUAAAAGUAUAGUAACCCUAGCCUAUAUGUAUAUAUGUAUAUAUAUGUAUACAUAUAUAUGUAUACAUAUAUAUGUAUACAUAUAUAUAUAUACAUAUAUAUAUAGAGUCCGGCUACUAUACUAUUAUGAGUACGAUCGCCCUCGUACUCGUAAGUUGUUUUCGAUGAUAGAGCUUCCGAAUCGAUGAUCCACACCGUUAAACGUUAUCUAGAGCAUUUGAAACAUCUAGAAAUCAAAUUUCAUAAUUUUUCGACAUCAUUUACCUCACGAUCAAAAGCUCACAAAAUUGACAAUUUUUAACGGCCGGUAUGGAAUACUUGCUAGUUUAGCGAUGCAAAAAAAUUCGAAUUGGUUGAAUUUUUGAUAGAAAAUUCUAUUCACUACCUAAAUAAAGAUCAAUAACUCCGAUCUUAAAUUGAAGGGUCCGAUCAUCCAUUUUUAAGACAUCGUUCGAUUUUGACCGUUCAUUUUAUGCCCGCUUGAUGGACUUUAUUAUGAUUUCCAAAAAAUUACGAAAUUUAUUUUCUAAAAUUUCAAAUACUCUAGAUCAUAUUUAACAGAUGAUCGUCGAUUUCGGACAGCUCCAUCAUCAAAACAACUUAUGAGUACGAAAGGCCCAAUGACUCAUUAUGUCUAGUGUAUCCUACGUCUAUAUUAUGUNNNNNNNNNNNNNNNNNNNNNNNNNUAUAUAUAUAUAUUAUAAAUAUAUGAGUGAGGCUACUAUGCUAUCGGAAGCCGGAGCCUUCCGUGCUUCCAGCUCGUUUCGAUUAUUCCGACUUUUCGAUCGGUUCGAUCGGCUCCGUUUUAAACUUGAUCUAGAGUAGUAUUUUGAGUACUUAGAAAAAUAAAUUUUAUUAUUUUUCUGAUAUUAUUUUGCCUAGUAUCGAAUGAGCUCAAAAUCAAACAAAUUUCAAUGGCUGUACGUGAACGUUUUAAGUUUUAACGGUGGUAGAAAUAUUGCAAAUCACGUGACAAUUUUUGAUAGAAAAUUCCUUAUUACUAUAUAAAAUCAAGAUCAAUUAUCUUUGAUUUAAAAUUUUAAUGUUAAUUAUUACAUUUUUGUAGAUUUUUAUUUUCAGCCCGGUUGAUUUAGAGCCCCUUCGUUCACUAGCGCAAUAUGAUAUCGUACAAUUCAUAAAAUUUAUUUUCUAACAUACUUUCAAUACUCUCUAGAUCAAUUUAACGGAGCCGAUUCGACGCUUCGAAAGUCGCACAUCGAAAACGAGCUGGAAGCACGGAAGCUCCGUGCUUCGAUAGCAUAGUAGCCUCACCUAUAUAUAUAUAUA
rnacentral:lncRNA from 1 species